rnacentral:rRNA from 1 species
AGCGUACACGGUGGAUGCCCUGGCAGUCAGAGGCGAUGAAGGACGUGCUAAUCUGCGAUAAGCGUCGGUAAGGUGAUAUGAACCGUUAUAACCGGCGAUUUCCGAAUGGGGAAACCCAGUGUGAUUCGUCACACUAUCAUUAACUGAAUCCAUAGGUUAAUGAGGCGAACCGGGGGAACUGAAACAUCUAAGUACCCCGAGGAAAAGAAAUCAACCGAGAUUCCCCCAGUAGCGGCGAGCGAACGGGGAGCAGCCCAGAGCCUGAAUCAGUGUGUGUGUUAGUGGAAGCGUCUGGAAAGGCGCGCGAUACAGGGUGACAGCCCCGUACACAAAAAUGCACAUGCUGUGAGCUCGAUGAGUAGGGCGGGACACGUGGUAUCCUGUCUGAAUAUGGGGGGACCAUCCUCCAAGGCUAAAUACUCCUGACUGACCGAUAGUGAACCAGUACCGUGAGGGAAAGGCGAAAAGAACCCCGGCGAGGGGAGUGAAAAAGAACCUGAAACCGUGUACGUACAAGCAGUGGGAGCACGCUUAGGCGUGUGACUGCGUACCUUUUGUAUAAUGGGUCAGCGACUUAUAUUCUGUAGCAAGGUUAACCGAAUAGGGGAGCCGAAGGGAAACCGAGUCUUAACUGGGCGUUAAGUUGCAGGGUAUAGACCCGAAACCCGGUGAUCUAGCCAUGGGCAGGUUGAAGGUUGGGUAACACUAACUGGAGGACCGAACCGACUAAUGUUGAAAAAUUAGCGGAUGACUUGUGGCUGGGGGUGAAAGGCCAAUCAAACCGGGAGAUAGCUGGUUCUCCCCGAAAGCUAUUUAGGUAGCGCCUCGUGAAUUCAUCUCCGGGGGUAGAGCACUGUUUCGGCAAGGGGGUCAUCCCGACUUACCAACCCGAUGCAAACUGCGAAUACCGGAGAAUGUUAUCACGGGAGACACACGGCGGGUGCUAACGUCCGUCGUGAAGAGGGAAACAACCCAGACCGCCAGCUAAGGUCCCAAAGUCAUGGUUAAGUGGGAAACGAUGUGGGAAGGCCCAGACAGCCAGGAUGUUGGCUUAGAAGCAGCCAUCAUUUAAAGAAAGCGUAAUAGCUCACUGGUCGAGUCGGCCUGCGCGGAAGAUGUAACGGGGCUAAACCAUGCACCGAAGCUGCGGCAGCGACGCUUAUGCGUUGUUGGGUAGGGGAGCGUUCUGUAAGCCUGCGAAGGUGUGCUGUGAGGCAUGCUGGAGGUAUCAGAAGUGCGAAUGCUGACAUAAGUAACGAUAAAGCGGGUGAAAAGCCCGCUCGCCGGAAGACCAAGGGUUCCUGUCCAACGUUAAUCGGGGCAGGGUGAGUCGACCCCUAAGGCGAGGCCGAAAGGCGUAGUCGAUGGGAAACAGGUUAAUAUUCCUGUACUUGGUGUUACUGCGAAGGGGGGACGGAGAAGGCUAUGUUGGCCGGGCGACGGUUGUCCCGGUUUAAGCGUGUAGGCUGGUUUUCCAGGCAAAUCCGGAAAAUCAAGGCUGAGGCGUGAUGACGAGGCACUACGGUGCUGAAGCAACAAAUGCCCUGCUUCCAGGAAAAGCCUCUAAGCAUCAGGUAACAUCAAAUCGUACCCCAAACCGACACAGGUGGUCAGGUAGAGAAUACCAAGGCGCUUGAGAGAACUCGGGUGAAGGAACUAGGCAAAAUGGUGCCGUAACUUCGGGAGAAGGCACGCUGAUAUGUAGGUGAAGUCCCUCGCGGAUGGAGCUGAAAUCAGUCGAAGAUACCAGCUGGCUGCAACUGUUUAUUAAAAACACAGCACUGUGCAAACACGAAAGUGGACGUAUACGGUGUGACGCCUGCCCGGUGCCGGAAGGUUAAUUGAUGGGGUUAGCGCAAGCGAAGCUCUUGAUCGAAGCCCCGGUAAACGGCGGCCGUAACUAUAACGGUCCUAAGGUAGCGAAAUUCCUUGUCGGGUAAGUUCCGACCUGCACGAAUGGCGUAAUGAUGGCCAGGCUGUCUCCACCCGAGACUCAGUGAAAUUGAACUCGCUGUGAAGAUGCAGUGUACCCGCGGCAAGACGGAAAGACCCCGUGAACCUUUACUAUAGCUUGACACUGAACAUUGAGCCUUGAUGUGUAGGAUAGGUGGGAGGCUUUGAAGUGUGGACGCCAGUCUGCAUGGAGCCGACCUUGAAAUACCACCCUUUAAUGUUUGAUGUUCUAACGUUGACCCGUAAUCCGGGUUGCGGACAGUGUCUGGUGGGUAGUUUGACUGGGGCGGUCUCCUCCUAAAGAGUAACGGAGGAGCACGAAGGUUGGCUAAUCCUGGUCGGACAUCAGGAGGUUAGUGCAAUGGCAUAAGCCAGCUUGACUGCGAGCGUGACGGCGCGAGCAGGUGCGAAAGCAGGUCAUAGUGAUCCGGUGGUUCUGAAUGGAAGGGCCAUCGCUCAACGGAUAAAAGGUACUCCGGGGAUAACAGGCUGAUACCGCCCAAGAGUUCAUAUCGACGGCGGUGUUUGGCACCUCGAUGUCGGCUCAUC